CACAAAAUUUAUAUCGACAAAAAUUAAUACAAUUUUUUUUGGCAAAUCUAGUGCACAAAGUUUUUGGAAAAAAAUUUUUGGCAAAAAAAUCUAACACAGUUUGAGCAUAAAUUUUUGAAGCAAAAACAUAAGAACAAUUUUUUUUAAAAAAAGUUCUGCACAAAAAAUGGAAAUGAAAAAGUUUUGAAAAAACUGAAUAAAAAGUUGUGUACAUCAAAAGUCACGGAAAAAGGAAAAAAGAAAAAAGAAGGAAAAAACUCGCCACUCCUACGCCUGGCCGACGCCGUCGCGACGCCGGAGGGAGGCGCGCGCCGCUCCGGAGGCCGCUCCCCGUCGCCCCAGCGGGUGGAGCUCGCUGGAUCCGGAGGAGAGAGAGCGCGGCCGCCUUCGUGUUGCCUCGAUGGCGGACGUCGAGCCCCUCUGCCGCCGCUCCCCCUCGCGCCAGCGAGCGGCGCUCGCCGGAUCCGGUGGAGGCGAGCCCUACAUCCUGGUGCCUCGCCGGUGAAGAGCGAGCGUCGUCGUUGCUGCCUCACGCAGCGCCGGCGGAGGACCUCCACCGGUGGUCUGGACUGGGAGCGUCAGAGAAAGAGAAUGAGAAGGGGGGAGAGAGAGAGAGAGCAGAGAGGUGACAGAAAAUAGUUCAGUGGGAACAGCGGGACCCACCAUGUGCUGUGCUGCUAAUGUUGCCAGAGAAUGGAGAGGCGGUGGAAUCAACCGUGCAUGUUCUAGUCACGGGCGACUGGAAAGUCAUCAUCGAGGAAAAUUUAGAGGGUAUUUGGUACUAUUACAC
rnacentral:lncRNA from 1 species